AAAUAACAAAUAUAUAGCGAUUAUGAAGAACUGUAGAGUAUGAACAUCAUCAACGGUAGUGAAAGCUGUAAAUUUAUUAGAUGGACAAAUUAAUAACUCCAGUUACUAUUUUCAAUCGAAACUUAGCAGGAGAAUCAGCCCAAUUUAAAUUGAAUAAUUCAUUAAAGUGGUUUGCCAACCGGAACAUGGUUACAAGAGGUGAUCUAUUGGUCGAAAAAACUUGAGGUAUGUGAAACAUACGGCUAGAGCGCAUUGUUCUGGCUGGUACGUUAAAUUUAACCAAUUCAAGCAAUUCGGUAGAAUUAAUUUUAUUAUUAAUGAUCUUGUAUAAAAAAGUCAAUACAGAGAUUUGCCUCCUAUUCUCUAGCGAUAAAAUUUUAAAUUCUUUUCUUAAGCUGGAUGUUCUAACAGUAUGAUAAUCAGGAUACCUACGGAAUUUUCUUAAAUAAAGGGACCUAAAAAAUUUAUUUUGUAUUUUUUCUAACCGCUCUAAAUUAGUUUGAUACUCUGUGUACCACACUUGUAACCCAAAUUCUAAUUUGCUCCUUACUAGAGAAUAAUAUAAUAUUUUGAGCGUAUUUAUGUUAGUAAAGUUAUUUGACUGUCUUAUUAUAUAACCCAAUGUUCUAUUUGCAGAUUUUGCGAUAUUUUUAAUGUGGUUACUAAAUGAUAACAUACUAUCGUACGUUAUCCCUAAAUCUGUUUUUUCUGAGUCCCGCUGUAGACUUUGUUCAUUCAUUAGGUAAUCGAAUAAGCACGGACUUUUUAAACGCGUUAUUGACAAUACAGAACAUUUAUUUAUAUUAAAAUGCAAUUUAUUUUGACAACUCCAUUCAUACACCUUGUUUAUGUCUUUCUGUAACAUGACACAAUCUCUAACUGUUUCAACCCGCCUGUACAAUUUCAGAUCAUCUGCAAACAUUUGAUACAUAGAAUAUUUAAAUACCUUAGGUAAAUCAUUUAUAAAGAGUAGAAACAGUAGUGGCCCUAGGUUGGAUCCUUGCGGAACCCCCGAAUUCAUUUCAUAUUUUCCAGAUGUAUUCCCAUUGUGUUUAACUACUAUGCCUCUAUUUUCUAAGUAAUUUUUUAUUAAUGUAAGAAAGUUUAUUGAUAGUCCGUAUCUGCUUAGUUUUUUUAACAUAAUAUCAUGAUCCACUUUAUCAAAAGCUUUUUUGAAAUCCGUGUAUAUUACAUCAAGUUGAGAUUUACGUUCAAUAGUUUCUAAUGCAUUUUUAGUAAAAAGGAAUAGAUUGGUAUUACUUGAUUUGUUGGCAACAAAGCCGUGUUGAUGUGGUACUAUAAAAUUUUCAACAUAACGAUACAGUUUACAAUAAAUUAUUUGUUCCAACAAUUUAGCUGGAGAGCACAUAAUUGAUAUAGGCCUAUAAUUUUCAACGUUCAUUUUAUUCCCGGAUUUAAAUAUGGGUGAGACAAGUCCCGUUUUCCACAUUGAAGGAAAUACAUUAGUUGAUAAUAUAAGGUUGUAAAUAUGUAGUAAGGGCUGUCGCACCCACUCACCACACGCUUUGAGCAUAAAAGCAGGUAUUCUGUCAGUUCCCGCAGAUUUCUUAGGUUUUAAUUUAUUUAUCGCAUUAUUGAAAUCAGUCUCAUCAACUGAGUCUAAAAUAAAAGUAUCAUUUGUUAUAUCUAUAUCUCUAUUAAAAUUUAAAUUAUAAGAAGGUUUCUCCUCUGCGUAUACUGAUGCAAAAAAUGUUGCAAAACUUUCGGCAGUCCGUUCUUCCGGUAUAUCUUGUCCGUUGUAAUAAUAUUUAUCACUGUUAGACGUCUUUUUAUUAUUUCUAAUAUAAUUCCAAAAAUUAUUUACAUCAACACUUAUCUCAUUUUCUAUUUUAUUUAUAUAUUCUUUUUUUUCGUCUUAAUUAAUUUACUUACCUCUUUUCUACAUUCUAUAUAUUUAUUUUUGUAAUGAUCAGAUAUAUUUUUUAAUUUUCUGUAUCUGUCUUUUUCUUUUAGCGCCCUAUUUAUGUCAGGUGUAAACCAAACCGGUCUUAAUUUCGUAUUUUUAUGAAAAACAUUUUUUGGAACGCACUCGUCAACAACCCUAUUCCAGCUUAUCAUAAAAAUUUAGUACAGCCUUGUCUACAUCAAAUUUUUCUUCUAAUACCACAUCCCAAUUCAUGUCCCUAACACCCCUAACAACACACAACAUUCCAGGAAUGUACUACCAAAGUUCUAUCAAUAUUUGAAUGUCCUGGACAUUUAGGGAACAUUCGGUGAACAUCUGUUUAAAUUAUUCCUGGAAUGUUACCAUAAGACAUUCUGUGAACAUACUACCAAUGUUCCUAUAUUUUAAGUUGCGAAAUAAUAAAUACGUGUAAUAGAUACAACAUUACUUAUAACAUACCAGACAAACUAAGUGACACUUUAGGCCUACAGUGCAAUAAUAUGUCAAAUUUAAAGAGUUUCCCAAGUUCAAUUAAUACAAUAUUAUAAACAUACAAAUGUAAUAAAAAUUAUUGUUCGCGAAUAUUCAAUUUGGAAUGCGAUUUUGUUAAUAAAAGAAAUACUUAUAACUUAUGCAAAACCCAAGAGAGGCAUUUAUAUUUAUUUCUUUUGCGUUCAUUUUCAAAUUCGCCGUGCAUAUAUUUUUGUGCAUGGCGCUUGAGAGGGCAUCACGUGACUAAAAACGACCAACCAACGACCUCGCUUCGGCCAUCUUGGCAUCUUCAUCUUGGCUACCUUGCUUUGCCGUGGGUGGAUAGUCGUUUGUAUUAGUUGUGCUUUUUAAGAAUAUUUUUUUAAUUCGGAUACUUUUAUAAUAGCUUUAAUAGUAUUAUUAACAUAGUGAAUAAAAUGGUGUCCUGUUUUUAACGCAGUUGGAGUAGCAGAAACAAAUGUAGAUAAAAAAAUCUGCAGGAAUAACGUUUCAAUUAUGACAGAAGCUCCAAACAAAUGACUGUGAAUGAAAAGCCCUAUUAAAAGCUUUCCAGAAGAUCCUGCGAAGAAGACAUGAAGUAUAGAUCAGAUUUGUUAAUAGAGGAGUAUGUUCAAAACACUUUUUAGAAAAGAUAUUGACAGAACUUCACUUUCAUCUGUUCGUUUAAGAGACUGUGCUGUUCCAAUAGCUUAUGUCACACAGAAUCAGCUUAGAGAAGUGGUCUACAAAAAACCAGAAAGGAAACGGAAUAUGUGGCUACGAAAAGCAAAAGAAAGGUUUACAAAGCAAAUGUGACACAUUUUUUUAUAAUAUUUAGGAAUGUCAGUAAAUUACAUUAAAAAAUGUAUGUAAAGAUUUUUUGCAAUAAAAAUGUUUAUAUUUAUCAAGGAUGUAUUAUUUGGUAUGGCCACAUAUCGUCAGUUAUGUGACAAUACCUCCUAUCUGUUUUUUUUCAAGAGAUUUGUAAGAUAGACUAAAAACUUGUUUCGGCCACCUCCUGUUUUCAUAUAU